rnacentral:rRNA from 1 species
GAAAGGCGCUUUUGCGUCACUGAUGGAUGGACCCGCGGUGCAUUAGCUAGUUGGUGAGGUAACGGCUCACCAAGGCAACGAUGCAUAGCCGACCUGAGAGGGUGAUCGGCCACAUUGGGACUGAGACACGGCCCAAACUCCUACGGGAGGCAGCAGUAGGGAAUCUUCGGCAAUGGACGAAAGUCUGACCGAGCAACGCCGCGUGAGUGAAGAAGGUUUUCGGAUCGUAAAACUCUGUUGUUAGAGAAGAACAAGGAUGAGAGUAGAAUGUUCAUCCCUUGACGGUAUCUAACCAGAAAGCCACGGCUAACUACGUGCCAGCAGCCGCGGUAAUACGUAGGUGGCAAGCGUUGUCCGGAUUUAUUGGGCGUAAAGCGAGCGCAGGCGGUUCCUUAAGUCUGAUGUGAAAGCCCCCGGCUCAACCGGGGAGGGUCAUUGGAAACUGGGAAACUUGAGUGCAGAAGAGGAGAGUGGAAUUCCAUGUGUAGCGGUGAAAUGCGUAGAUAUAUGGAGGAACACCAGUGGCGAAGGCGGCUCUCUGGUCUGUAACUGACGCUGAGGCUCGAAAGCGUGGGGAGCAAACAGGAUUAGAUACCCUGGUAGUCCACGCCGUAAACGAUGA